rnacentral:lncRNA from 1 species
CAAGUGAUUCUCCUGCCUCAGCCUCCCGAGUAGCUGGGAUUACAGUACAUUAUCCACCUGAAUUGAAGAAGCAGAACCAGCCAGAAGAGGAAACACUGUAAUAAAAUUAAGAUCUGGACUCUAAUUCUGUUUUAUUUUCUCAACGUAUAAACCAUGAGUAAAUUGUUAAUCUUAAAAGAAAAUGUUUUUCUUCCAUUGUUCCUUUGUAAAGUGGACAUGAUCACACCUGUGUUCAGAAGGAACUGAUUCAGAGCUUGGUGCUGAAGGUAACAAAGCUAUCUGUGUUUGAUCAAGAUUCAAACCCUCAAUGUCUGAGAAAAGCAUCAUAUUCUUUAUCCAAGUGGACUUUGUAUAGAUGCAACAAAAUAUUCAUUCAAAUAUUUUCUAAAGUGCCAGGUCGCUUGAAGUUUACUUAUACUACUAUAGAUUUUAAGCUGCAUUUCACUGUAGAUAAUGCAAAGACAAUUAAAAGAACAGACAAUAAGCAGAUAAAGAGGCAUUAUUUUAUUACUAUGAAAGUUAAUAUGUCAUUUGUCACUGAAAUAGACAUGUCUUUAAUUUGCUUGGCAAAAGAGUGAGUAUAAGGUCUGAAUGUUUAAUCUCCCUAAAGUGUUCAUCACAUUGCAACAGAUUUAAUCUAUUCUCCAUCCAGAAAGACCACCUACAAACAAAGCAAUUACAAUUUGUUGUUUUACAGAUAAUAAAAUAAUUAGGUAUGCCAAGCAUAGGAAAGUAUGUAAUUUUACUGCCGUUUGUAAAAGAUGAUUAGAAGGAAUGCUCCACGGGCACUUCAGAAUUAAUUGAGAGGAACCAGGUACAGAUUUGAUUACUGGUAAUGCUUUUUGGAAGAAUCAGGAAUUUAGAAGCUAUUAAUAAUGAUUGUAAAGAUAAAGUUGGAGAAAGACGUGUUACAGAUGGGAAAAAGUUAUUGUUUUGCAGGGAAGAGUACAGAAUCACCCUUUAUGAUGCUUUGAAAUUCAGUCUAUCUUUGGUUUGGUAUAGAAAUUUGCAGAAAAUAGGUAACUAAAGAUACAUCAUAAGCAGGUUAACAAAUAAUGAUGAAACUGAAAAAACAUUUAUAAUGCUAAUAUUAUAACAACAACAAUUAUUAAUAUGGAGAAAACUACCAAAAGAGGCUGAAAUAUAAGGAGACAUCUUUUUUGGCUUAUUUUGUUUUUGUGUAAUGACCUGAACAAAUUCUCUUUGUAAUUUAAGUAGAAAUAAAAGCUUUAAAACCCUCUGAGGAUAUUUUAGUAGAAUCCUUCAAUGUCCUCCAAAAUCCAUUCUUUAUAGGCAGUAACAGUAUUAAAAAAAAUCAGUUUUCUAGCUUGAAAUACCUAUGGUAAUACUGUGGAUUAUUUUUAGUCAAUUCUAACUGAUGUUAUUUUUGAGAACAUAAAAGAAGUUUAUUGUGUGAUAAAAUUGGAAACCACAAGAUAUGUAUUAUGUCAGAAAGUGAUGGCAGAUAAAUGUCUGAUAAGAAUAUCUAUUAUAAAGGGAGAUGGAACUGAAAUAUAAUAGACAAGAGCCAUUUAAGAAAAUAAAUUACAUCUUAUUCAACAUUUUUGUGGUCUACCUCUUUGCCUCAGAUAUUAUAUGCUCUAUUUCUGUUCAUAAAAUGUUAUUUAAUGCAGUAUAAAGGUUCUCAUCUACCAUUCUAUAUUUUUUUGCAUCACAGCACAAUAUUAUCUGAAGACUGCCUGCUGAUAGGAGAGCAUGUUCAUUCAAUUUUUUAAGCAAUAUUAUUUUCUUUCGGAGAUAUGCAUAAAGAAGACAAAGAUUUAGAGUGUGAUACAUUAGUUCACUUUCUGACAAGGAUGACACAAUCUAAAAGCUAUUGCAGAUGAUAGAUUAUGACCUACAUUGUGACUCUUACCUAAACCUUACAGUGAACUGGUCAGCUUUUACCAACAGAACAUGAAAGUUACCAUUGUUGGAACUUGGUGCAUGAAACCCCAAAGCAUGACACCUUGGCAUGCUGAGUAUCUUACACUGAAGGAAACUGAAAGGACCUCAGAAGUGAGGUCCUGUUGACCUCGCUUCUUUAAUACCCCAAAAUAAAGGCCUCACAAGCAGCCUCAAUAGCAGCCUUAGUAGCACAGUUUUCACUGACCUUCUGCCUUUCUGUCUCUCCGCCUCAUUCUUCCUCAAGUCAAGGUGGAGAAACUAGACUCUAAGGGAGACUAUAGAAAUCAGAACCCCUAUCCCCCAAAGCCAGCUAUAAAACGCAAAAAUAUUACUCUAUUUUUCCCCUUCCUUUCUGUGUAAGGAAGGCCCAUCCCAGAGGGUCUGGCCUUAUACCCGGAAAGAAAGAAUGCUGCACAGAGGCCAAGGAGAAUCUGAACAGACACAUCUUGCUAGGUUUCCCCCUUUAGUCUAUUCCUAUCCCAUCACAGUUCUACAUGGCUGUCCAUUCUUCAUCAAAUCUAAGCAUAAAUUUGGACAGUUUUCCUGUCUCCAUUGGGUCUCCAUUCUGGAGGCUUUCAUUUCAUGUAAAACUUUGAUUACAUACAUUUGUUGUGCUUUACUUCUGUUAAUCUUCCUUUAAUCCAGUGGGAUUGGUAUGUAGUUAUAAUAAUUCUAGAAAUAUAUAUCUGAAAAUAUCAGGGGAACCAGCCUCCAAUAUUUCAACGUAGGUUCUUUCUAUUUUCCCUAAGUGUCAGUUGGUCUGAGAAAUAAAGAGAAAGAGUACAAAGAGAGAAAUUUACAGCUGGGCCUCCGGGGGUGCCAUCACAUGUUGGUAGGACUGUGAUGGUGACCUGGAGCUGCAAAACCAUCAAGUUUUUAUUAGGGAUUUCAAAAGCGGAGGAGUGUACGAAUAGGGAGUGGGUCACAGAGAUCACAUGCUUCAAAGGGCAAUAAAAGAUCACAAGGCAAAAGGGCAGAGCAGGAUCACAAGGCAAGGGUGAAAUUAGAAUUACUGAUGAGGGUCCAUGUCCCGCUGGGCACGCAUUGUCUUGAUAAACAUUUUAACA